rnacentral:rRNA from 1 species
GAUCAUGGCUCAGGACGAACGCUGGCGGCGCGCCUAACACAUGCAAGUCGAACGGAGCUAUGUUGAAAACUUGCUGGAUAUAUAGCUUAGUGGCGGACGGGUGAGUAACACGUGAGCAACCUGCCUUUCAGAGUGGAAUAACGUUUGGAAACGAACGCUAAUACCGCAUAACGUCAGAGGACGGCAUCGUCUUUUGACCAAAGAUUUAUCGUUGAAAGAUGGGCUCGCGGCCGAUUAGGUAG